GAAGGGACUGUCUAGUAAAUUAUCUAGUGGGACAGGUGAAGGGGCUGUCUAGUAAAUUAUCUAGUGGGACAGGUGAAGGGACUGUCUAGUAAAUUAUCUAGUGGGACAGGUGAAGGGACUGUCUAGUAAAUUAUCUAGUGGGACAGGUGAAGGGACUGUCUAGUAAAUUAUCUAGUGGGACAGGUAAAGGGACUGUCUAGUAAAUUAUCCAGUGGGACAGGUGAAGGGACUGUCUAGUAAAUAAUCUAGUGGGACAGGUGAAGGGACUGUCUAGUAAAUUAUCUAGUGGGACAGGUGAAGGGACUGUCUAGUAAAUAAUCUAGUGGGACAGGUGAAGGGACUGUCUAGUAAAUUAUCUAGUGGGACAGGUGAAGGGACUGUCUAGUAAAUUAUCUAGUGGGACAGGUGAAGGGACUGUAUAGUAAAUUAUCUAGUGGGACAGGUGAAGGG
ensembl:lncRNA